AGGCAAGCGACUUCAGGUAUUAGGCAAGCGACUUCAGGUAUUAGGCAAGCGAGUUCAGGCAUUAGGCAAGCGAGUUUAGGCAAGCAAGUUCAGGUAUUAGGCAAGCGACGCGAGUUUAGCCAAGCAAGUUCAGGUUUUAUGCAAGCGAGUUUAGGUUUUAUGCAAGCGAGUUUAGACAAGCGAGUUUAGGCAAGCAAGUUUAGGUAAGAGAGUCAAGUUACUUUAGGCCUCACUUUAUUUGCGGUUAAAUUGCGGCAUUAGGUUUAGAAAGAAGGUUAAGAUCCAGGCUCAGGUUUGCUUCCAGCCUCGUCCCUCUAGCCGCUCCCUAUAAAGAGGGUUCCCAGCUACCGUGUUAAAAUACAACAGCUGGGAUUACAGAUGUGGAGUACAGAAAUAAAUGACAAAGAUUGAUUCAAACAUUCUUCCCCCAAAAUGUGGUGCAACAUAAUGGAGAAAAUAAUUACUUUCUCUCCAUUGAAACCCAGUCAUAUUUUACGAUCUCAAGAGGUCCCGCCGCAAGGGGCGGACUUACAAGCUCUAUAGAGUGUGCACUGUGUGUUAAUGUUGGGUGUGGAUUAAUGUGCUGGUGUAGCCAGGGAUCCUCAGGGUUUAUGGGGAGUAGGACACACUGGUGUAGUUCAGUACUCGUUGGGUCUCUGCACCAUGACACCCAGCUGCCGCACAUCUGGUCUCCCUUUAAGUCGCCUGAAGGAGAGGUCAACUUAAUUGAACC